UAGAAGUCAGGUCGGAUUAAGCCAUAGUACGGAAAAAACUAUGCUACCUGUGAGCCCCGUCCAAGGACGUUAAAAGAAGUCAGGCCACUACAAGUGCCACAGCUUGAGCAAACUGUGCAGCCUGUAGCUCCACCUGGGAAGGUGUAAAAAAUCUGGGAGGCCACAAACCAUGGAAGCUGUACGCAUGGCGUAGUGGACUAGUGGUUAGAGGAGACCCCUCCCUUACAAAUCGCAGCAACAAUGGGGGC
rnacentral:lncRNA from 1 species